rnacentral:rRNA from 1 species
UACGUAGGGUCCGAGCGUUGUCCGGAAUUAUUGGGCGUAAAGGGCUCGUAGGCGGUUCGUCACGUCGGGAGUGAAAACUCGGAGCUUAACUCCGAGCCUGCUUCCGAUACGGGCAGACUAGAGGUAGGCAGGGGAGAGCGGAACUCCUGGUGUAGCGGUGGAAUGCGCAGAUAUCAGGAAGAACACCGGUGGCGAAGGCGGCUCUCUGGGCUUUACCUGACGCUGAGGAGCGAAAGCGUGGGUAGCGAGCAGG